ACUUAAAACCAAAAUAUGAUUAAGCAGUGGACAGUGGAAGAUUUGCGCUGUGAACUACUUUGCAUUCUCGAGCAGAAGUGGAGUAGGCUAUUUUUAAUUGCUUAAGGAGCUUGGAGGUGAACUUAUUUGGGGUUUUAGGACUGAACUACUGAUAGCCUAGGUUUCAAUUUGGAGGUAAUCUCAAUGAGGGAUUCAUUCCUUAACUCCACCCUCCCACCUCUCACACAUACAUAGACUUCUCUACCUUGAAUAGGGAUCCCAAAUGCCCAAGGCUUUUUCUUAUUUUGGUACUUUACACACCACGCAGUUGUGGCCCACUUUUAUGUCAGUUCAGAUAGAUUGUGAGUUCUUUAAGAACUGAGAUACUGUCAUUCAUCACUUUAUCCUUAACACCUGGCAUUGUGUGGCAUUAUGGUGGUAUAGGUGCUCCCUAAAUGUUGACUGAAUAAAUGAAUGAACUCACAUUUCAAUACCAGAUGAUAACCUUGUCUGGCAUCAUACAGGUUUCUUAUCAGGAUGGAAUGUGAUCAAGAAUUUCACUUCCUUGCCUUUGAAUACAUAUUUUGGAUUUGCCUUUAAGAUGAUAAUAGUCUAUUAGUUCCAGCUCAUCUGGAAGUGGGUCUGUAUGAGCUUAAGCCUGGUGCAUGGAUGGGGAGAUCACACAUGCAUGAGCCUCUAAGAUGAUAAUAGUCUAUUAGUUUAGCUUAUCUAGAAGUGGAUCUUUAUGAGCUUAGGCCUGGUACGUAGAUGGGUAGAUCACACACAUCUACAUCUAUGCAUUAGAAAAUUUCCAAGGUUUACUUAAUUAGAUGCUGUAGGCUCUCAGCACUGGCUGAGUAAUACUAAAAGGCCAGGGGAUUGGGAGGUGAGCUGCUGUUUAUCACACUUCUGAUAUACUUUUUAUGAGCACCAAAGAUCUGAUGUUGUAACAUCUUGAGCUCCAUAGAAUUGAUCCAGGAGUUCUGGAGUUACUAUGAGAAAGUAGAGAUCUUCAUUAGUCUGUUGUUGUAGCUGUGCUUUAGGGACACAGACAGACCUGUCUUUUCUCAGGGUGACGUCUCCUGUGGAAGGAGAAGAGAAUUGCCUGAUCUCUGUUAAGUUAGUGAGUAUAAGAGUACUUGUGGAGAACCAAACUUUACCUACAAAAAGGAUUUUGUUUUAACAAGUAGGGAGUCCAGAUAUCCUGAUCAUAACAUCUGAUCUUAUAAUCAAAUCUUUUACCUUCUUGUCUGAAAACUAUGAUAUGAUAUGACCAUUCGUUGACGAUUCCAGGAAUGGGAGGGACUGGUAAAGCCGAUUCUGCCACUAGUCAGGAAUUGUAGCAGGGUAGGAAAGGGUGUAGCUUCUACACAAAUAUCAUCAUUAUAGGUGUUCAUCUGGGAGAAGUAGGAGCCAAGGGGAAGAAUGGGUCUCACGUGACACCACUGGUGAGGGUGGGCUGUGCUGCAUAGCUCAGUGGUGCCAGGGUCUCAGGCCGCAAAUACCUGCUAUGUCCACUAGCCCAGAGUCAAAUGCUUCUGUGACUGCUAUGCCAGACCUUGACCUGCAAAGCUCUCUAAUGGCCCCUUGUUGAGCACAGUUCACUCUGAGAAAGCUGUCUGUUACCUAGCAGUUCUUUGUGUGCAAGAUAUGCUACCCAGGUGGUUAGGGCUAAAUCUGAACCUGUGUCCUUCCUGGAGGUAUAAGGGGUUCCAAAUACUUCUCCCAAAAGCAGAUCUUGUUGCUCUUUCAGUUAUGGAGUGUGAGGUCAGGACUUGGGUGGACAUGAGGCAGUGAUUUAAGGCAGAGAGCUUCGAGUGGACUCUGGGCAAAUACAUGACAACAUGCUCUUUUUUUUUAUUCAAUAGAGAUUACUCCUUAUGUUCUUUUCUUAGACUUGCUUCAUGGGCGACCACAAUGAUAGGUAGAAGGCCUGGCUACUUUGAAGGGGCCAGGGAUGGGUCACAGAAAAGGCACGUUGAUAGCACUAAUGGAGGGUUAGAAAGUAGCCCACAGUUUUGUCAUCUGUAUUCUUCCUACCGCUUUUUGAAAUGUGGGAAGCUGGUUGUAGUAACUACUUAGAUUUCUCAACCUAGGUCUUUUUUUUUUUUUUUUUUUUUCACAAGCUGCUGCUUCUCUUGUCCACUUUUCUAUUUAUUUUAUCCCUGUUUCUUUUAUAUAUGAGUUCAUAUCAGAAGAGAUUAAGUGAUUUUGGAUUGUAUUUUAGAUAAGUUUUAUUCUAUGACUUAACAUUUAGUAUGUUAUUUGUACUAGAGAAUGAGUUGCUGAGCGAUUUUUACUUGUAUUCCUGACAAAGUUUGCCUCUUAGCUAUUUAAAGGUAUGAGGCUUUAAAAAUUUGGCCCAAAUGGGAAACUAUGUGGCUGUUUAGUAAACAUUAUUAAUGAGGGUGACGGUUUUCAGCCACUGGAUUUAAUUUGAACCAUUUAUCUUUGAGCCCCAGUUUUUUUUUUUUUCUAGGAAAUAAAAAUGAUAAACUUUAGCUUUUUAUUUCUCAGUUCAGAAAAA